rnacentral:lncRNA from 10 species
ACACAAGCUCUCUGCCCCUGGGAGAGAUCCCUGCUCACCUAGGUUUUGGGUACCCAUACCAGGAGGAGGCUAGGGGGAAGGGCUCUCGGUCACGAUCCACACAGAGGAAGAAAUGAACACACAGUGACAAUUUACUGAGGGCUUACCCUCAUUAAUUAAGCCCUUAUUUACCAUUGUUCACAAUAUCUUCCAAAACAACCCCUUGAAAGGGUGACCAUUUAUUAUCCCAGAAGAGAAAUAUGAGGUUCAGAGAGAAGUCACUUGGCCCAAACGAUCAGGAGAAAAACCCACUCAGGAGAGUGGCUCUAUGGCAAGACACGUGAACCGAGAGGGGUUGGGAAACUAGUUUCCAUGGCCAAACCUAGCCCACCGUCUGUUUUGGUGUCCAUGGAUUGGCGGGGACAGCUCUGCUUAAGGAUGUAGUAGCUCUGCAGGUUGGCUAGUUUCCUGUUCUUCCCAACCUGCGCUAUGGACUUCAUCAGAUUUCAGCAUCAGAGAGAAUAUGGAAGGACAUCGACCCUAACUUCAUCCAGUGAGGAUUUCCACACACCAUACACUCUCUGAGAGUUCUCUUGGCUUUGUGUGCACACCUCCAGUGACAGGGAGCUCGCUAUGUCAUGAGGCAGCCUGCUCCCUUGUGGCUAUCACUGAACCAACUAUUAAGCCUUCUUAUACAAACAGUCCCUGACUUACUGUUAGACUUACAACUUUUUGAUUUUACAGUGGUGCAAAAGCAAUAUGCAUUCCAUAGAAACUGUAUUUCAAAUUUUGAAUUUUGAUCUUUUCCAGGCUAGCAACAUAUGAAGACCAACCUUCUAUUUUUAAAAUAGGCUUUGUGUUAGAUGCUUUUGCCCAACUAUAGGUUAAUGUAAAUGUUCUGAGAAUAUUUGAGGAAGGCUAGGCUAAACUGUGAUCUUUGGGAGCUUAGAUAUGUUAAGUGCAUUUUCAACUUACAAUAUUUUCAACUUACGAUGAGUUUAUUGGGAUGAAGCCCGUUGUAAGUAAAGGAGCAUCUGCAUUAAGCUAAAAUCCAUGUCUAUAACUUCCUCA